UACAGAGGUCUCAAGCGUUGUUCGGAUUCAUUGGGCGUAAAGGGUGCGUAGGCGGCGCGGUAAGUCGGGUGUGAAAUCUCGGGGCUUAACUCCGAAACUGCAUUCGAUACUACCGUGCUUGAGGACUGGAGAGGAGACUGGAAUUUACGGUGUAGCGGUGAAAUGCGUAGAUAUCGUAAGGAAGACCAGUGGCGAAGGCGGGUCUCUGGGCAGUAACUGACGCUGAGGAGCGAAAGCGUGGGGAGCGAACAGG
rnacentral:rRNA from 1 species